CGGGAGCAAUCCUGGUGGCGAGUGGCGAACGGGUGAGUAAUACAUCGGAACGUGCCCAAUCGUGGGGGAUAACGCAGCGAAAGCUGUGCUAAUACCGCAUACGAUCUACGGAUGAAAGCAGGGGACCGCAAGGCCUUGCGCGAAUGGAGCGGCCGAUGGCAGAUUAGGUAGUUGGUGGGGUAAAGGCUCACCAAGCCAACGAUCUGUAGCUGGUCUGAGAGGACGACCAGCCACACUGGGACUGAGACACGGCCCAGACUCCUACGGGAGGCAGCAGUGGGGAAUUUUGGACAAUGGGCGAAAGCCUGAUCCAGCAAUGCCGCGUGCAGGAUGAAGGCCUUCGGGUUGUAAACUGCUUUUGUACGGAACGAAACGGUCUUUUCUAAUACAGAAGGCUAAUGACGGUACCGUAAGAAUAAGCACCGGCUAACUACGUGCCAGCAGCCGCGGUAAUACGUAGGGUGCAAGCGUUAAUCGGAAUUACUGGGCGUAAAGCGUGCGCAGGCGGUUAUGUAAGACAGUUGUGAAAUCCCCGGGCUCAACCUGGGAAUUGCAUCUGUGACUGCAUAGCUAGAGUACGGUAGAGGGGGAUGGAAUUCCGCGUGUAGCAGUGAAAUGCGUAGAUAUGCGGAGGAACACCGAUGGCGAAGGCAAUCCCCUGGACCUGUACUGACGCUCAUGCACGAAAGCGUGGGGAGCAAACAGGAUUAGAUACCCUGGUAGUCCACGCCCUAAACGAUGUCAACUGGUUGUUGGGUCUUCACUGACUCAGUAACGAAGCUAACGCGUGAAGUUGACCGCCUGGGGAGUACGGCCGCAAGGGUUGAAACUCAAA
rnacentral:rRNA from 1 species